CGUGUAUAAAUAAGCAAUCUCUGCAUCAAUAUUUCAUUCGUCAACUCGAAUUCUGUAGACAUGACUUCUACAAUAAUUCUGCUUUGCUUUCUUGCUGGAAUGGUUGCUGCUCAGGAAGUUGGGGAACCUAUACCACUUAGGCCAAAUAGAGAUUGUUACAUCAAAGAUGCAGCUUUUAUGUAUCAAGGAAAUGUCAGCGAGUCAAGUAAAAAUGCAAUCUGUCUCUUUUGGUCGGAUUAUAAAGAUACUGUAGACGAUAACUUUCCUGAUGACAACCAAAUGUCUGCUGAAAAUUUCUGCAGAGAGCCAACUGCAAAACGUGACAUGCCAUGGUGUUAUGUUAAAGAAGAAGAAUGGGAAUACUGUGCUGUAAAACAAUGCCCGGAAACUGAAACUGUCUUAGACUAAAGCUUUUUGCAAAACAAGAAAGAAUGAUGCAGUAAACAAAGAAAUGUAGUGUUGAAAUUAUUGUUGUAAUAUAUUUCAACAAAAUAAAUCAUCAAAAAUGAAA